GUUUCCGUAGCGCAGUGGUUAUCACGUUCGUCUGACACGCGAAAGGUCCCCGGUUCGACAACCGGGCGGAAACA
rnacentral:tRNA from 1 species